rnacentral:lncRNA from 1 species
AGAUUUACAAAUAAGUCAACAUGACCAAAAUGGUCAGUUGACCCCUUUAGGAGUUAUUGACCUUUAUAUUCAAUUUUUAACCAUUUUUCGUAAAUCUUAGUAAUCUUUUACAAAAAUCUUCUCCUCUGAAACUACUGGGCCAAAUUAAUCCAAACUUGGCCACAAUCAUCUUUGGGAUAUCUAGUUUAAAAAAUGUGUGGCAUGACCCAGCCAACCAACCAAGAUGGCCGCCAUGGCUAAAAAUAGAACAUAGGGGUAAAAUGCAGUUUUUGGCUUAUAACUCAAAAACCAAAGCAUUUAGAGCAAAAUGUGGUUAAAGUGUUUAUCAGGUCAAGAUCUAUCUGUCCUGAAAUUUUCAGAUGAAUCGGACAACCAGUUGUUAGGUUGCUGCCCC